rnacentral:ncRNA from 1 species
GCGUUCCUCACUGGAGAGAGGCGGGGUGGACCGGGGCCGCAAGCCCGGGUUGAGCUCGCCCACCGAAGGGGCAAGCCACGGACAGGCAGUUGCGCGUCCGGCGGCCAAUCUCUCAGGUAAAGCGGACAGCGAGGGCAUC